rnacentral:rRNA from 1 species
UACGAAGGGGGCUAGCGUUGCUCGGAAUCACUGGGCGUAAAGGGUGCGUAGGCGGGUCUUUAAGUCAGGGGUGAAAUCCUGGAGCUCAACUCCAGAACUGCCUUUGAUACUGAGGAUCUUGAGUUCGGGGGAGGUGAGUGGAACUGCGAGUGUAGAGGUGAAAUUCGUAGAUAUUCGCAAGAACACCAGUGGCGAAGGCGGCUCACUGGCCCGAUACUGACGCUGAGGCACGAAAGCCAGGGGAGCAAACGGG